UUGAUGGAACGUUUGUCAUAAGCAUAAAGGUCAAGUCUUGUCACUAGCAUGGAGGCUCUGCACAAACAAUAAAUGCGCAGCAAGCUAGCAAGUUAAGCCCCUUGCCUAGGAUAAGAUGUUUGAAUCAAAGAGAUGAAACCACGUGCCACCUCAUCCAAGGGCUCCCAUUUCGCAUGUAUCACUAUAAAUACUUCCUUUGUGUAACAUCAAAGGACUAAUGUAAGAA
rnacentral:lncRNA from 1 species